rnacentral:rRNA from 1 species
UUUGACCUCAAAUCAGGUAGGACUACCCGCUGAACUUCA